rnacentral:rRNA from 1 species
ACGGGUGAGGAAUACAUCGGAAUCUACUUUUUCGUGGGGGAUAACGUAGGGAAACUUACGCUAAUACCGCAUACGACCUUCGGGUGAAAGCAGGGGACCUUCGGGCCUUGCGCGAUUGAAUGAGCCGAUGUCGGAUUAGCUAGUUGGCGGGGUAAAGGCCCACCAAGGCGACGAUCCGUAGCUGGUCUGAGAGGAUGAUCAGCCACACUGGAACUGAGACACGGUCCAGACUCCUACGGGAGGCAGCAGUGGGGAAUAUUGGACAAUGGGCGCAAGCCUGAUCCAGCCAUACCGCGUGGGUGAAGAAGGCCUUCGGGUUGUAAAGCCCUUUUGUUGGGAAAGAAAAGCAGCAGGCUAAUACCCCGCUGUUCUGACGGUACCCAAAGAAUAAGCACCGGCUAACUUCGUGCCAGCAGCCGCGGUAAUACGAAGGGUGCAAGCGUUACUCGGAAUUACUGGGCGUAAAGCGUGCGUAGGUGGUUGUUUAAGUCUGUUGUGAAAGCCCUGGGCUCAACCUGGGAACUGCAGUGGAAACUGGAUGACUAGAGUGUGGUAGAGGGUAGCGGAAUUCCCGGUGUA